GGGAGAAGGAGAGUUUUUUGAAGACAAAAAGGAGGAGAAGAAUGUGCUUCCACAAGAAAAGAAAGACGAGCAGAAAACUGUGGACUCUGCAUUGCUCAAGGCUAUUGAAGGAAUUCCUGAAUUGAAGGCGUAUUUGUCUGCAAGGUUCUCGUUGAAGUCAGGCAUGAAACCACACGAGCUUGUGUUCUAAUGGAAGUAUACCUACAACAUUUCUGUUGAAACUGAUUUUUGUUACUACUAUUUUUCUGUUUUCUUCGGAUUGAACUUGUGUUAAGAGUUCAUAUCGAGUAUAAACAUCUUUAAUUAGAAUUUGCAAUAUGAGAAUUUUCUUGAUUAUCC
rnacentral:misc_RNA from 1 species